ACACAUGCAAGUCGAGGGGAAACGACAUCGAAAGCUUGCUUUUGAUGGGCGUCGACCGGCGCACGGGUGAGUAACGCGUAUCCAACCUGCCCACCACUUGGGGAUAACCUUGCGAAAGUAAGACUAAUACCCAAUGAUAUCUCUAGAAGACAUCUGAAAGAGAUUAAAGAUUUACCGGUGAUGGAUGGGGAUGCGUCUGAUUAGCUUGUUGGCGGGGUAACGGCCCACCAAGGCAACGAUCAGUAGGGGUUCUGAGAGGAAGGUCCCCCACAUUGGAACUGAGACACGGUCCAAACUCCUACGGGAGGCAGCAGUGAGGAAUAUUGGUCAAUGGACGAGAGUCUGAACCAGCCAAGUAGCGUGCAGGAUGACGGCCCUAUGGGUUGUAAACUGCUUUUAUAAGGGAAUAAAGUGAGUCUCGUGAGACUUUUUGCAUGUACCUUAUGAAUAAGGACCGGCUAAUUCCGUGCCAGCAGCCGCGGUAAUACGGAAGGUCCGGGCGUUAUCCGGAUUUAUUGGGUUUAAAGGGAGCGUAGGCCGGAGAUUGAGCGUGUUGUGAAAUGUAGAUGCUCAACAUCUGCACUGCAGCGCGAACUGGUUUCCUUGAGUACGCACAAAGUGGGCGGAAUUCGUGGUGUAGCGGUGAAAUGCUUAGAUAUCACGAAGAACUCCGAUUGCGAAGGCAGCUCACUGGAGCGCAACUGACGCUGAAGCUCGAAAGUGCGGGUAUCGAACAGGAUUAGAUACCCUGGUAGUCCGCACGGUAAACGAUGGAUGCCCGCUGUUGGUCUGAAUAGGUCAGCGGCCAAGCGAAAGCAUUAAGCAUCCCACCUGGGGAGUACGCCGGC
rnacentral:rRNA from 1 species